rnacentral:rRNA from 1 species
UACGGAGGAUCCGAGCGUUAUCCGGAUUUAUUGGGUUUAAAGGGUGCGCAGGCGGGAGAUUAAGUCGGCGGUGAAAUUUUGCAGCUCAACUGUAAAAGUGCCUUCGAAACUGGUUUCCUUGAGUGUAGAUGAAGUAGGCGGAAUUUGUGGUGUAGCGGUGAAAUGCUUAGAGAUCACACAGAAUAUCGAUUGCGAAGGCAGCUCACAAAGCCAAGAUUGACGCUGAGGCACGAAAGCGUGGGGAGCAAACAGGAUUAGAUACCCCCGUA